rnacentral:rRNA from 1 species
AUUGAACGCUGGCGGCAGGCCUAACACAUGCAAGUCGAGCGAGUGGCGGACGGGUGAGUAAUGUAUGGGGAUCUGCCUGAUGGAGGGGGAUAACUACUGGAAACGGUGGCUAAUACCGCGUACUAUAGGAUGAACCCAUAUGGGAUUAGCUAGUUGGUGGGGUAAUGGCUCACCUAGGCGACGAUCUCUAGCUGGUCUGAGAGGAUGAUCAGCCACACUGGGACUGAGACACGGCCCAGACUCCUACGGGAGGCAGCAGUGGGGAAUAUUGCACAAUGGGGGCAAGCCUGAUGCAGCCAUGCCGCGUGUAUGAAGAAGGCCUUAGGGUUGUAAAGUACUUUCGGCGAGGAGGCGUUACCCUCAGAAGAAGCACCGGCUAACUCCGUGCCAGCAGCCGCGGUAAUUC